rnacentral:tRNA from 1 species
UGGGGAGUGGUGUAACGGCAGCACACAGGCUUUUGGCGCCUUGAGAUUCAGGUUCGAAUCCUGGCUCCCCAG